AUUGAACGCUAGCGGCAUGCUUUACACAUGCAAGUCGACCGAGUGGCGGACGGGUGAGUAAUAUAUCGGAACGUGCCCAGUAGCGGGGGAUAACUCCUCGAAAGCGUAGCUAAUACCGCAUACUAUUGUAGCGUCCGAUAUCGGAUUAGCUAGUUGGUGGGGUAACGGCUCACCAAGGCAACGAUCCGUAGCUGGUUUGAGAGGACGACCAGCCACACGGGGACGGAGACACGGCCCAGACUCCUACGGGAGGCAGCAGGGGGGAAUAUGGGACAAUGGGGGAAACCCUGAUCCAGCCAUCCCGCGUGUAUGAGAAGGCCUUCGGGUUGGAAAGUAAUUUUGGCAGAGAAGCGGUACCUGCAGAAGAAGCACCGGCUAACUACGUGCCAGCCGCCGCGGUAAUUC
rnacentral:rRNA from 1 species